rnacentral:rRNA from 1 species
UACAGGGGGUGCAAACGUUGUUCGGAAUCAUUGGGCGUAAAGGGCGCGUAGGUGGUUCUGUAUGUCUACCGUGAAAGCGUACGGCUCAACCGUAUUUUGUCGGUAGAAACUGCAGGACUUGAGGCUGGGAGGGGCUGGUGGAAUUCCCUGUGUAGCGGUGAAAUGCGUAGAGAUGGGGGAGAACACUCGUGGCGAAGGCGGCCAGCUAGACCAGUUCUGACACUGAGGCGCGACAGCGUGGGGAGCAAACAGG